rnacentral:piRNA from 1 species
UGCAAAGAGUGCUCAGAGGGCAGUGGC